UGGAGUAGACACAAACCACUAUCGCACAUUGAGAAAUGGAGUAGACACAAAUUAUAACUAUCACACAUUGAGAAAUGGAGUAGACACAAAUUAUAAUUAUCACAUUGAGGAAGGGAGUAGACACAAGUUAUAACUAUCACACUGGAGUAGACACAAGUUAUAACUAUCACACUGGAGUAGACACAAGUUAUAACUAUCAAAGAAAAAAGGAAUGCAAAGUAACAGCAACCAAUGUGUAGAUAGUUCUUUAUGCAAGGUACUAGUAGUUAACUCAAAUUAGCAUAAAGCGUGUGUUGGCCCAAAAUGAUCUUUUCCAUUAACCACACCCACAAAGGCAGCUUGGGGUACAUAUUUAUAGUCAACCUUGGGUAGGUGGCUUACAAGCUAAGCAAAGCAUCUAAAGAGCAUCUAAAGCAGUAAUUGGUGAUAAGGUGCACGUAGGCACGAACCACCCACGGAUACGAGUGCUCACAGGCACCACUAACACAUUAUUCUAUCACCAUCAGGACUUAACUCUAACAUUCUCCCCCUAAGUCCUGAAUGGCAAAAGAACCCUCCCAAGUCUGGUUCGGAGUUCUUGGAACUUGACUCUUCCUUAGUGUUGAUGUAGUUGCCUUGACGCUCCCUUCCUCCAAGCAGCCGCUUCAUGGAAGACAAGGUUCUUUGCCAGGGCUUGAGCGGACUUGCUAUCCGGCAUCCAUCUGCAUCGCGGUGCGCCAGGCCGCGUGUCCCUCAGCCUUAGCGAAGGAGCGAGACUCGUCGCCGUUGCUCGUUAGGUGAAGCAUGGCCUUGACGUCGUGAGGCACCCAUCCCAGCACCGGCUGGUCGCCGAGAAUGUCUGUAAUGGUACGGUACCGCAGUGGCUCGCCAUCAUGGUACGCGUCGACGCAAUCCUCGUCGUGAGGGAGCGGAGUGGCGAACUCCACCGAGUGGGGCUCAUCAUGAGCUGGUGUUGACGAAGCAGUGCUCGGAGGAGUGGCCGUCAGUGCUGGAGUGUGUGGCGUGGCCGGCUAUGGUAGUGGCGAUGGAGAGCUCGCCGCGCCCGGAGUACUCGCCGGAGUCGGUGGAGGACUCGCUGGCGCCGGUGAAGAGCUCGCCGUAGUCGGUGGAGACCCGGGGACUGAGGUAGGCACGCUCGGCGAAGAAGAGCUGCCCACCCCCCAGCUCCCUCGAAGUGGACGUAGUCGUUGUACAUCGAAGUCGAGCCACCGUCCACCAUCUUUCCCCGCACCAUCUCCUUGGUGCCGAGCUGUGCCACCUCCGCGUAGAGGACGUAGAGGUUGUUCUUCCCCUAUCCACCUUGGUGAGGAAGAAGCUCAAUGGUCCCAUGAGCUAGGAACAAAGCUAGAUCCUCCUCCUCCGCAGCCUGCGCAACGUGGGCCUGGUCGUGCCUCGGCUGGCGGCAUCCCAGUGUCGUCUCGUGCAACCUCGAGCUCGCUGGCGGCGGCACCCUCAGCGCCUCCUUGCGCCUUGCUGCCCUUGCGGCCGCCUGUCGAGAAAGAAGACUCGCCCUUCUUCCGCUCCUUUUGGCGGGCGAGCCACCUCUCCUCAGUGAGGUGGAGCUGACCACCGAUGGUGACCUCCCCGCCAGAAGAAGGCUUGUCGCGGUCGUCGACCACCUUGAGCCGACCCGUCAGCUCCUAAAUCGACAACGCUGAGAGGUCGAGCAGCGUCUCGAUGGAGAUAGCGAGCUGCGAGUACUUCGGCACGACACGCAGGAACUUCACAACGGCUUUCUCUUCGUUGAUCUCGUCGUCGUCAUACCGCUCCAGCAGCUGCAUCAAGCUAGAGAGGCAGAAGGCGAAGUCGUUGACGUCUUGACGUCCUCACCCGGCUUGAAAGCCAGACGAUCCCACUCCUACCGAAGCUUCUGCAGAGUGGACUUGCAGGCGCGGUCGCUACCAGCUCGGGCCGCAGCGAUAGCGUCCCAGGCGGCCUUGGUAGUCCUCUUCCCCAAGAGGUUUGCCGCCAUCUCCAUCGGGACUGCGGCGAGCAACGCCUCGAGCGCUCGCCGGUCCUCAUGGCUGUCAACGUCGCCAUACUGGACUGCGUCCCACAUCUCCCGCACCUGGAGCUUCACCUUCAUCACCGAGGACCACUCCGUGUAGUUGGUCUUCAUCAACAUCGACCACUGCAUGCUGUUGACAGACUCUCGAAUGAUGGUCUUCACGAUCCUCAAGGGUUGGUGCCUGGAGCCAAGGUCGGAGUCGGAGUCGAGGCAGACUCGUGGACGGAGCUCCUCCUGCUCCGAGGACACCCGCCAUGAGCUUCGGCGCCGACACCCUGCGCCACGCGCCUCAGCUCCUCUACAUGGCGCCGCGCCAUCUCGCGCAUCAUCUCCGCCUCCUCGCGCAGCCAGUCCACCUCCAGACGACACUGAGUAGCGGCCGCCGCUGCCGCUUGUGCCUUCUCGUCGGCGAGGCGGGCUGCCUCAGCUACGCGCGCUGCUCAAGCCGCAGCCGCCUCCCGCAACUCGGCGUCGCGCACCACCGCCACGCGCUGCCGGUCCUCUAGCCUCGUGACCUUCACCCUCCGCUCCUCCUCGCGCGCCAUAGCCGCACGCCGUGCCCGGCGCCGCUCUGCUGCUGAGGCUCCUCGGCCGCCAUGAGCCGCUCCUCCUCCCGACACGCGGUGGCGCCGCGCCGUCGCCUCCUCAUGCCACUCCUCGACCGUCGCCCUGCGGGGCCGCGCACUUGAAGUAAUUGAGCUGCUGGAGGAGACCCGCAAGGAGGUCCUGGAGCUUACCAGGAGACCCGGCACCUCGCCGGUCAGCAGUGGCACGCCGACCACCAGAGCCGCAACAUCCACAGGGCCCACGCCGCCCGCUCCCACCGGCCGUCUAGAGCCCUUGAGCCUGCCAUGGGAGUUUCCCGCAUGUGCCGCGCCGCCGCCCGCGUCCGCGCCGGGGAAGAAGCCAGCCACCCGUGGAGAGCCGCCGCCGCCGCCUGGGUCUGCCACCGAUCCGCGCCGCCCGAUCCGAUCGCAGGGAGGGGUGAAGGAGGUCGCUAGCCGUCGGAUCUAACCGGAACAGCAGCGCCGCCACCGGCCUUGGUGGGCCGAUCGGGUGCUAGGGUUUCCGGGGUGAGGGGCUGGAGCACGAGGGAGAGGAGAGAGAAGGGUAGGUAGGAAAGAAUUAGGCUCUGAUACCAAUUGUUGGCCUAAAAUGAUCUUUUCCAUUAACCACAACCACAAAGGCAGCUUUGGGUACAUAUUUAUAGCCAACCUUGGAUAGGUGGCUUACAAGCUAAGCAAAGCAUCUAAAGAGCAUCUAAGCAUCUAAGCAGUAAUUGGUGAUAAGGUGCACGUAGGCACGAACCACCCACGGAUACGAGUGUUCACAGGCACUAAGUGCACACAGGCACUACUAAUACAUUAUUCUAUCACCAUCAGGACUUAACUCUAACAGCGUGUACAAAAGGGUAAUCAGAAGAGCAUACCAU
rnacentral:lncRNA from 1 species